rnacentral:rRNA from 1 species
CGAACGGAAAGGCUCCAGCUUGCUGGAGUACUCGAGUGGCGAACGGGUGAGUAACACGUGGGUAAUCUGCCCUGCACUCUGGGAUAAGCCUGGGAAACUGGGUCUAAUACUGGAUAUGACCUUUCUCCUUAUGGGGUUUGGUGGAAGGUUUUUCGGUGUAGGAUGAGCCCGCGGCCUAUCAGCUUGUUGGUGGGGUGAUGGCCUACCAAGGCGACGACGGGUAGCCGGCCUGAGAGGGUGAUCGGCCACAUUGGGACUGAGAUACGGCCCAGACUCCUACGGGAGGCAGCAGUGGGGAAUAUUGCACAAUGGGCGGAAGCCUGAUGCAGCGACGCCGCGUGAGGGAUGACGGCCUUCGGGUUGUAAACCUCUUUCAGCAGGGACGAAGCGUAAGUGACGGUACCUGCAGAAGAAGCACCGGCUAACUAUGUGCCAGCAGCCGCGGUAAUACGUAGGGUGCGAGCGUUGUCCGGAAUUACUGGGCGUAAAGAGCUCGUAGGCGGUUUGUCACGUCGUCUGUGAAAUCCUAGGGCUUAACCCUGGACGUGCAGGCGAUACGGGCUGACUUGAGUACUACAGGGGAGACUGGAAUUUCUGGUGUAGCGGUGGAAUGCACAGAUAUCAGGAAGAACACCGAUGGCGAAGGCAGGUCUCUGGGUAGUA